AGCGAACGCUGGCGGCAGGCUUAACACAUGCAAGUCGAACGGGCACUUCGGUGCUAGUGGCAGACGGGUGAGUAACACGUGGGAACGUACCUUUCGGUUCGGAAUAAUUCAGGGAAACUUGGACUAAUACCGGAUACGCCCUUCGGGGAAGGAUUAUCGCCGAUAGAUCGGCCCGCGUCUGAUUAGCUAGUUGGUGAGGUAAUGGCUCACCAAGGCGACGAUCAGUAGCUGGUCUGAGAGGAUGAUCAGCCACAUUGGGACUGAGACACGGCCCAA
rnacentral:rRNA from 1 species